UUCGAUUCUGGCUCAGAUUGAACGCUGGCGGGAUGCUUUACACAUGUCGAACGGCAGCACGGACUUCGGUCUGGUGGCGAGUGGCGAACGGGUGAGUAAUGUAUCGGAACGUGCCUAGUAGCGGGGGAUAACUACGCGAAAGCGUAGCUAAUACCGCAUACGCCCUUCGGGGGAAAGCGGGGACCUUCGGGCCUCGCACUAUUAGAGCGGCCGAUAUCGGAUUAGCUAGCGGUGGGGUAACGGCCUCACCAAGGCGACGAUCCGUAGCUGGUUUGAGGACGACCAGCCACACUGGGACUGAGACACGGCCUGUGACUCCUACGGGAGGCAGCAGUGGGAAUUUUGGACAAUGGGGGGAAACCCUGAUCCAGCCAUCCCGCGUGCGAUGAAGGCCUUCGGGUUGUAAAAGCACUUUUGGCAGGAAAGAAACGGCACGGGAUAAUACCCCGUGCAACUGACGGUACCUGCAGAAUAAGCACCGGCUAACUACGUGCCAGCAGCCGCGGUAAUACGUAGGGGUGCAAGCGUUAAUCGGAAUUACUGGGCGUAAAGCGUGCGCAGGCGGUUCGAAAGAAAGAUGUGAAAUCCCAGAGCUUAACUUUGGAACUUACUUUAACUACCGAGCUAGAGUGUGUCAGAGGGAGGUGGAAUUCCGCGUGUAGCAGUGAAAUGCGUAGAUAUGCGGAGGAACAACGAUGCAUAAAGGGGCAGCCUCCUGGGAUAACACUGACGCUCAUGCACGAAAGCGUGGGGAGCAAACAGGAUUAGAUACCCUGGUAGUCCACGCCCUAAACGAUGUCAACUAGCUGUUGGGGCCUUCGGCCUGGUAGCGCAGCUAACGCGUGAAGUUGACCGCCUGGGGAGUACGGUCGCAAGAUUAAAACUCAAAGGAAUUGACGGGGACCCGCACAAGCGGUGGAUGAUGUGGAUUAAUUCGAUGCAACGCGAAAAACCUUACCUACCCUUGACAUGUCUGGAAUCCCGAAGAGAUUUGGGAGUGCUCGCAAGAGAACCGGAACACAGGUGCUGCAUGGCUGUCGUCAGCUCGUGUCGUGAGAUGUUGGGUUAAGUCCCGCAACGAGCGCAACCCUUGUCAUUAGUUGCUACGAAAGGGCACUCUAUCGAGACUGCCGGUGACAAACCGGAGGAAGGUGGGGAUGACGUCAAGUCCUCAUGGCCCCAGGUAGGGCUUCACACGUCAGUACAAUGGUCGGGACAGAGGGUCGCCAACCCGCGAGGGGGAGCCAAUCCCAGAAACCCGAUCGUAGUCCGGAUCGCAGUCUGCAACUCGACUGCGUGAAGUCGGAAAUCGCUAGUAAUCGCGGAUCAGCAUGUCGCGGUGAAUACGUUCCCGGGUCUUGUACACACCGCCCGUCACACCAUGGGAGUGGGUUUUACCAGAAGUAGUUAGCCUAACCGUAAGGAGGCGAUUACCAUGGUAGGAUUCAUGACUGGGGUGAAGUCGUAACAAGGUAA
rnacentral:rRNA from 1 species